AUAUAAGAAAUGAUUAAAUCAUAUAUGAUUUCGACUCAUAAUUAGAUGUAAAACAUCCUUAUAUU
rnacentral:tRNA from 1 species